UACGUAGGGUGCAAGCGUUAAUCGGAAUUACUGGGCGUAAAGCGCGCGCAGGCGGUUUUUUAAGUCUGAUGUGAAAGCCCACGGCUCAACCGUGGAGGGUCAUUGGAAACUGGAGAACUUGAGUACAGAAGAGGAAAGCGGAAUUCCACGUGUAGCGGUGAAAUGCGUAGAGAUGUGGAGGAACACCAGUGGCGAAGGCGGCUUUCUGGUCUGUAACUGACGCUGAGGCGCGAAAGCGUGGGGAGCAAACAGG
rnacentral:rRNA from 1 species